rnacentral:rRNA from 1 species
GACGAACGCUGGCGGCGUGCUUAACACAUGCAAGUCGAACGGAAAGGCCCUGCUUUUGUGGGGUGCUCGAGUGGCGAACGGGUGAGUAACACGUGAGUAACCUGCCCUUGACUUUGGGAUAACUUCAGGAAACUGGGGCUAAUACCGGAUAGGAGCUCCUGCUGCAUGGUGGGGGUUGGAUAGUUUCGGCUGUUGGGGAUGGACUCGCGGCUUAUCAGCUUGUUGGUGGGGUAGUGGCUUACCAAGGCUUUGACGGGUAGCCGGCCUGAGAGGGUGACCGGCCACAUUGGGACUGCGAUACGGCCCAGACUCCUACGGGAGGCAGCAGUGGGGAAUAUUGCCCAAUGGGCGGAAGCCUGAUGAAGCAACGCCGCGUGCGGGAUGACGGCCUUCGGGUUGUAAACCGCUUUCGCCUGUGACGAAGCGUGAGUGACGGUAAUGGGUAAAGAAGCACCGGCUAACUACGUG